rnacentral:rRNA from 1 species
UACGUAGGGGGCAAGCGUUGUCCGGAUUUAUUGGGCGUAAAGAGCGUGUAGGCGGCUAGGUAGGUCCGUUGUGAAAACUCGAGGCUCAACCUCGAGCUGUCGAUGGAAACCAUCUGGCUAGAGUCCGGAAGAGGAGAGUGGAAUUCCUGGUGUAGCGGUGAAAUGCGCAGAUAUCAGGAAGAACACCCGUGGCGAAGGCGGCUCUCUGGUACGUGACUGACGCUGAGACGCGAAAGCCGUGGGGAGCGAACAGG